rnacentral:lncRNA from 1 species
AUGUUUUCUUUUCUUCAGUUUGAAGAUGAAGCUGCUUUUACAUCGAAAAUACCCAACACUUAUUCAGAAGAUGUCAGGAAAUCCCGUUUCAUUCAAGGAUGGCUCAUCUCCCAGUAUGUAUACUGCAUUUGGCUAGGCUGCUGUGAAUUCCCUGUAGCCACUGACAUUUGGAGAGGCACUGAUGCACACCGAUCAGAACACAUCAUUUGGGCUGAAGCUCACACGGGCAGAUGGGAAAAUGACAGCAUGAGGCAAACCAAGGGGAAGAAUGGGUUUCCUGUCAACAGAAUAUUCCUGAUCUAUGAUGAUAGUGCAGGAAUGGUUGUCUAAAAUCAGGGCCCCUGGAGAGGAAGUCUCACAGAACAAAAUCUACAGAGGAAUCUUGUUCAUCUAAAGCAACGCUAGAGUAAGAGGACAAAAUAUUAACAAGUCAAAUGUCAAAAUGUUCCAAAACACUUAAAAAGAAUGGUUCCAGAAGGCUCUUUUUUUUUUUAUAACAGCGAAUGCCAUAGAAGAACCAUUUUUGGUUCCCAAAGAACCUUUCAGUGAAGAAUUCGUAAAUUAAUUUUUUCAGAAUUAUUAUUUUUUCUUUGUGUGAAGAACAUUUUAAUAAUCUAAAGCAGUGGUUCUCAACUGGUUUGGCCAUGGGGACCCACAUUUUACCAUGGUCAUCAAGCAGCGACCCACUUUAUUAGGGAUAUAUAUAUAUAUAUAUAUAUAUAUAUAUAAUAAUAAUAAUAAUAAUAAUAUAUUAUUAUUAUUGUUGUUGUUGUUUAAAAACUAACUAAGACAAAUAUAUAUAUAUAUAUAUAUAUAUAUAUAAUAAUAAUAAUAAUAAUAAUAAUAUUAUUAUUAUUAUUUGUUGUUGUUGUUUUAAAAAACACAAAGCAAAUUUAUUUUUACAAAAAAUUGUUGAUGCACACACACAAGCACCGUCCCCUGUUUCUUAAAACAUAAAUUGUAAAAAUAUCACAAAUACUGAUUAAUAAACAGCCUAUAAAUUAAGGCUAGUCCCAGUUUGUUAAUACAAUUAGGUUGGUAUGAGCCACCACAGUCAUUUAAACAUGUACAAAAUAACACAAAGUGAAAUAACAUGGCAUUUUGGGUUAUGGAAACAACAUUUAUCAUGGUGAAUAAUAAUAACAUGAACUGUUAAUGAAACAUGGAAACUGCUCCUGAAUAGAAUGAGAAUUAUACCUUCAUGCAAAUCCUUCGGCAUCUGACAAAGGUGUCAACAGCUUUCAAGGAUGUCUUUCAAAAUAAAAGUCUUGCAUCAGAAAAACAUUUAGAAUUUCAUUUUUUAUUGAUGUUGGUCUCAGAAUGGUCUUGUGACCCACCAGUUAAGAAACACUGAUCUAAAGAACCUAUAACGAACCUUUUGUGUAAUGGAAAGGUUGCGUAGUUCUUAAUGCAACCAUCAGUGACAUAAGAAACUAUUACAUUUAAGACGGUAACUGGCAGACAGUUGCCAUUGCAUUAGAACUGUCAUGGGUAACAUUCUCAGGGAAAGAGUUCAGAUAUUUAUGACCCUUUUUAAUACAUUUCUGGAUUGAGAUGACAUAAUAUGCAAAACCGCAGCUCUAAAUCUCAGUUCUAAAUCCUUUUAUUGACAUUGUCUUGAAUCCAACCACAAAAAAAGACCACACCUGUGACAAAAUGUCUAUUAAACACUCAUCUGUGGGUUAAUGAUGUUUUGAAUCUUUUUGGUUGCACUUGUUGAAUGUCACUAAUACUGUUAUUACCUUAAAGAGUACGCCCAUAUUUCUUUUCAUCACCUAAACCUGCAUUACCCAGAUGGAGGAUUACUGUUGAAUCUGAAUAGACUCCAACAUGCUGUUUUGUGUGUGUACACAUACAUCUAUGUUUAGGUUACUAACAGGCCACCUAAAUAUUUAGGUUACUAACAUUUGAUUGUGAUGACACCUUUCCUAGACACGGGUAGCUUAUAUGUUUCCCGUACAACGAUGUAACUCACUCUUUAAUUACCAAUAUGCAUCGUUGGAGAAACUAACCAUCUAGUCGUUCACAACUGGUUUUCGAAACCGUAUUGUGGCAUCACAGUUGUUUGAAUCACACUAGUCCAACAUUAUAGACCUUAUGCUUCAGAGAAACAAGUGCGCAGCCAUCUUUAGAAUUUUGUGUUUGAACUUCCUGUUGAAGAGUAUCCUAAUUAGCUGGUGAAGUAGAUGUAUUUAUUGAAGAGUUAAUGAAAGAUAUCAUGUGCAUUAUAAUGUUCAUAACAAAUGUCAGUAGACUUUAAAACUACAGUUUCAUUCAAAAAUUCGUCAACGUGAAGGACGUUGUGGAAAUACAAACGGAACUCAAGACAAGUAGCGCAGCAAGGAGCCAGGGCUAAGGUCUAUCCACCUUAUUUUUCCAACACAGAAGUAAGCUGUUUCUGUGAAUGUGCGAGACUUCCGGUUCAUUAGUCUGUAUAGGGAAAUAACAAGAAUAAGAAAAUUAGGAAAGUGCAAUAAACUGUAAAACUGCUUGUGCUACAAACCAGUGUGUUCGUAAUUAACACAAUUGAAAUCCCUUACGAAAAUUAACCAUGGCUUUACUACAAAUAAACCCAAAAAACAUGGUUACUAGUUAAACCAUGAUAACCACAAAUUAGCCAUGGUUUUGGUACACUAACUUAACCAUGGUAGGCCUAUUUGUGGUAAAACUUUUUAUACAAAUGGUAAUCAUAAUGCCAAAAAACAUGGUUUUACACUUACUAUAAUAAACUCAUGGUUAAUUUUCAUAAGGGAUAAUAUGGUAAGACUCAACAGUUUGCAAUGUCAAGCAGCAAAACUAGCUGUUUUAUACAGUUAAAAAUAGCUGGAAGUGGAUGACACUGGAAGACAGACACACAAAAUUUCCAAAUGGCAGCACCCACUCUUAGGGGAAAAAUAAGGUGGAUCCCUGACAGCACAUCACGGAGACCUACAUUUACAUCUGCAAGACGUAGUGUGGAUUAGUGUAAUGUGGGACACUGACUAAUGUAGGACACCUAAGCUUCAGUGCGUUUAUCUCUUCUUUUACAACAUUAAAGUGAACAUGAUUGGUGUUGAAUUCAAGCAGGGGUGUCAAUUUAAUAAAAUCACUUGACUUUCUGGAAAUUAUGUCAGAAAUGUGGCCAAGAAAAUCAACAAACAGGAAGUACCUCUUGUAAAGUUCACAUUAAUUUAGACUAAAUUAAUGUUAAGGAUAUAAAUCUGUUAUAAAUAAAACAAUGUUCUAAAUUAUCAAAUUAUAUUUGUGAUGAAUUUAUACAUCAAAUUUGCAUUAAUAUUCUUAAAAUGUGUUAAGGAUAUUUUCUAUUUAAAGAAAUCUUUGUUGUCCCACUUUAGAAAAUGAUGUUUCAAAAGUGGGACAGCAUGUUUUGACUAAUGUGGGACAGUCAAAUAUACUAUGUUAUUCAAUUGAUAAAAUGUGCAUUAAGAAGGUUAAAUGCCAUACGUGUAAUUUUGUCAAUUUUGGGGCUUAUAAUGCAGCAAUAUUAUUUGUUUUAAGAUCCAGAUUCACAAUUUAGCGACUAGAGGACAAUGGGAUCCUGUACCAUGAUGAGCCCAUGACUGCCCAGGACUGCUUAUUUCUGUUAUGAAGUGUUUUUACCAUUACAAUUUGAUUAACACAAGCUUUUUAGAAAAAAAAAGAAAAAAAAAGAAAAGAAAUUUAAUAUUAGAAGUUUAUAGAAGUUUAAUAACAGUUUUAAAGGUAUAUUUAAAUCGAAUGAAUCGUUGAAUUAUGUAAACUUGCGAGCAUAGAUGGCUAUAACGAUUCUUUUGGGAAACGCACCCCAGGAUAGCAUCACAGAAAUGCAGACAGCAACGUGUUCAACCUCCCGCAACUUUGAUUUCAAUUUAGCCCAUUAUCAGAUUAAAAGAGGCAGGAUGGUUCCUACUAUAGCCUAUCUGUCUCCUGGGGUUAAGCAGAGAUACGCAGCAGACCAGAAGGGGUUUUCCAGCCUCUAGUUUGGGAAUGUUUAUGUAACCCUCACAAUCAUUUGGGCUGUUUGUUUCGGGUCCAGCCGGUGGGCCAAAGCACUUUGGUAAUGAAGCUAAUUGAACUUAACUGCAAAGAAACCGCGUUUGAAACCUCUGUUUGUUGUCACUCAGUCUUAUCGAAAGAUUUGAGAGCAAUUACGCUUUUCUAUAAUUGCUAUUAGAUUUAAACUUACAGAAAAUAUGCCUUACACGGUUUCUUUUUUUUUUUUUAAUCGUGGGUGGCAUAUAUGCCCAAAUCUUUAAAUGUAGAAUCUACAAUUAUUUAAUUCUAUAUUCAGUUCGAUUCAAAUGUAUUUGUAUAGCGCUUUUCACAAUACACGUUGUUUCAAAGCAGCUUUACAGAAAAUGCAUUUAAAAAGUGAUCUGUUAUCAUUUAAAAUUAAAAAAGUUUGUUCUGAAGUUAGAUGUAGUUUACAUUUAGCCUACUUAAGUCACAAAAACGUCUGCCAAAAAUAAGACAAAAAAGGAACUUUGACAUUAUUUUUACUUUGAAUUAAUUUUUAGGGGUAAAUAAAAAAUGGGGCAUUGUAAAUGCCCAAGAAAAU